UCUCUGCACGUAAUUUACAAUAUUUUAUAGUUUCCAAAGGGUUUUCACGUCAUUGUCUCAUUGAAAACUCCCUGAGACGGUGACGUAUGGGCAGGAGUCAGUUUAACCCGUUUUUUUUUUUAAUAAAAAUUAUCGUCAGAGAGGACAUGGACUGAAAAAAAAUGCACAACUUGGAAGUUGAGAAUUAUGUUUUAUUCAGCGCUCUUGCUGAGGACUUGAGCCCGGGAGACAGCAUCUCCGAGGGACUGUUCUGAAGAGUCAGAUGACCAAGGCAAGGAAAUGGAAUAGGACCAGAGUGCCAGGUGAAGACUUCAUCUCAAGAACAGUGAAGCUUCCUUAGUCUUAAAAAGAAAAAGGGGAUGAGUUGAACUGUCCUUGCAGAAGAGAUAACAGAUGGUGUGAACCCCAGAUCCUACUGCAUAGCACGGGGAGCUCUACUCCAUAUCCUGUAACAAACUGUACGGGAAAAGAAUCUGUCUUGCCAAGCCAUGGCUGGAAGAAGUUAUGGAUACAGAUCAGGGGCAGACGGUGCUCAGGAG